rnacentral:rRNA from 1 species
AGUGAACGCUGGCGGUAGGCCUAACACAUGCAAGUCGAACGGCAGCACAGUAAGAGCUUGCUCUUACGGGUGGCGAGUGGCGGACGGGUGAGGAAUACAUCGGAAUCUACUUUUUCGUGGGGGAUAACGUAGGGAAACUUACGCUAAUACCGCAUACGACCUACGGGUGAAAGCAGGGGAUCUUCGGGCCUUGCGCGAUUGAAUGAGCCGAUGUCGGAUUAGCUAGUUGGCGGGGUAAAGGCCCACCAAGGCGACGAUCCGUAGCGGGUCUGAGAGGAUGAUCAGCCACACUGGAACUGAGACACGGUCCAGACUCCUACGGGAGGCAGCAGUGGGGAAUAUUGGACAAUGGGCGCAAGCCUGAUCCAGCCAUACCGCGUGGGUGAAGAAGGCCUUCGGGUUGUAAAGCCCUUUUGUUGGGAAAGAAAAGCAGCAGGUUAAUACCCCGCUGUUCUGACGGUACCCAAAGAAUAAGCACCGGCUAACUUCGUG